AACGUAGGUGGCGAGCGUUAUCCGGAUUUACUGGGCGUAAAGCGUGUGCAGGCGGACGGGCAAGUGGUGUAUGAAAGCUCCAGGCUUAACCUGGAGAGGUUAUGCCAGACUGCACGUCUUGAGGCAGAGAGAGGGACAUGGAAUUCCGGGUGUAGUGGUGAAAUGCGUAGAGAUCCGGAGGAACUCCAGAGGCGAAGGCGGUGUCCUGGCUCUGACCUGACGCUCAGACACGAAAGCAUGGGGAGCGAAC
rnacentral:rRNA from 1 species